rnacentral:rRNA from 1 species
CCUACGGGAGGCAGCAGUAGGGAAUCUUCCGCAAUGGACGAAAGUCUGACGGAGCAACGCCGCGUGAGUGAUGAAGGCUUUCGGGUCGUAAAACUCUGUUGUUAGGGAAGAACAAGUACGAGAGAGUAACUGCUCGUACCUUGACGGUACCUAACCAGAAAGCCACGGCUAACUACGUGCCAGCAGCCGCGGUAAUACGUAGGUGGCAAGCGUUAUCCGGAAUUAUUGGGCGUAAAGCGCGCGCAGGCGGUUUCUUAAGUCUGAUGUGAAAGCCCACGGCUCAACCGUGGAGGGUCAUUGGAAACUGGGGAACUUGAGUGCAGAAGAGAAAAGCGGAAUUCCACGUGUAGCGGUGAAAUGCGUAGAGAUGUGGAGGAACACCAGUGGCGAAGGCGGCUUUUUGGUCUGUAACUGACGCUGAGGCGCGAAAGCGUGGGGAGCAAACAGGAUUAGAUACCCUGGUAGUCCACGCCGUAAACGAUGAGUGCUAAGUGUUAGAGGGUUUCCGCCCUUUAGUGCUGCAGCUAACGCAUUAAGCACUCCGCCUGGGGAGUACGGUCGCAAGACUGAAACUCAAAGGAAUUGACGGGGGCCCGCACAAGCGGUGGGAGCAUGGUGGUUUAAUUCGAAGCAACGCGAAGAACCUUAC